GUUACAUGCCUCUGCUUUAUGUUUUCUGCUUCCUUCAGUUUGGUAUAUGUGAGCUGAAAGAGGCUUUGCAGACAAAAUAAGAAAAGGAAUUCUUCAUGUAUUUAACUAGGCUUCAGAGAAUGAAGAGCCCAGCAUUGCCAGAACUCAGCCAGCCUCCCUGACUCGUGUUUAGGUGGAGUGAAUUGAGUGAAACCACAUAUGAUGGGGUUUAGUGGUACAAGCUUCCUGCAGCUCCUGCCUAUUUGGAUGUAGGACUGUAGCAUUGCUCAGCUCUUCCCUGGUAACAAUAGUGAGAGAACAUUGUGGUCUUCUCCCAGAGCAACACUCACGAACAGAGAGAUACUAGUCAUUGAAGAACACAGGGACAGGAACUCUUAUGAUAAGAAAAUCUCUACCCUUCAGGCUAGCCUGUGACCCCAGUCCCACCAUCACAUAAGGGUUAGAAGAGAAGACAUCUAGAGCAGUUCCCACUGCCUGCUCUGCACCAGAGUCACUGUUAGAAUUCCUUUGUGAAUGUACAGUGAAUAGUGUUACAGGACCAAUUCAGAG